UGCGGAGACCUUGUUGUGUCCAUUAACAGUGGAUACCUGGAACAGUCGGUGUACAUCGGUGUCUCCCGAGAUUCGCCUGUGACUGUGCAUCGCCAUCAUUAUUCUUGUCGUAAUGUGGCACAACACCACGCCAUGCCGCCAGCAGCUGUGAGGGCUCUGUAUUGCAGGCAGGGACGUUACGAGAAUAUAUGUUAACGUUCCUCGUGCACGCCUCGCUGUAUCUGCACGGGGAGAACGUGUCUAGGCUGUACUGAUCGAUAAACGGAUCAAUGUGCAUCAGACCGGCCGCCACGUCCUCUUCCCUCUCAAGAAGGGGAGCACUUCCACGCCAGACUGCGUCCUUCGCCACCAGGAGUCGGCCGCCAUCUUCAACAUUGGAUGGCACAUUGUCGUCGGGACCAAUGGCGUCUGGCGGUGUUCCUCCUCGUCAUGAUGACGUGUGAGUGUGUGCUGAUCUACGUCGUGAUGGAAAGCGAGCACGCUGCUGCAAGACGGGCGGUUGUGUCCAGAUACGAGAAACGCAAAGCAGUACCUGCCUUUACGACCGCUUCACAGACCACAACAGGAAGUCUUCUCAAACAGGUUCUUCUCAGGGACAGACAGCUUUAAUGCUUCGAAGGUACACGGCUCCAUGUGUGGGGAUGCUGCUGGAUCUGCCCGUCACUGUGGAUGGGGCACAUGGCUGUCUCCAGAUCGGCCUGACUUCAAACAUCGCAAUACAAGUAGCGGCCACACGGUCUACCCUAGUGUAGACUGGACACGUCUACCUCCAUGUACAAGGUCGCUCUGGAUGAUAGAGUGCGUGGCGUAAUAUCAAAUCAUUCCUCUCCCAGCAACGAAACUGCAGUCUGACCAGACCACCACUGUCAGAGGUUGGCACUUCAGUAGCGGUAAAACAUAAGGGCCAGGAAUACCCGGAUGUGAUGGUUUUACCACUCUUGGAUUCCAUUUACCUGCAGCACAAGUGCAACACUGAAUCUCAACUACUGUGAUAAACACAUUUUCUUUCAUACAAGUGGUUUAUACAUCGGAAUGUUGAAGGCACACAACAGCAACAGCAGCAAUACAGCACAAUAUCUUCUAUCGAGGCGAAUAAUGGCACCAUAUUUUGGUUGUUGCUUUUUCUUGCAAUUUGUUAUUUCAUUUUCUUAUAUGAUUGUUUUGAUAAAGAUGUUUUUGUCUUUAACAUGAUGAUAUUCCAUUUUGUUGUGCAUCUGCCGGGCACACAGUUGUCUGAACAAUAAAGAUGAUUGGUGCAUUGGUGACAUUUACAAGAAAUACAUUUGGUUGAUGUA
rnacentral:lncRNA from 1 species